UACAGAGGGGGCAAGCGUUGUUCGGAAUUACUGGGCGUAAAGGGCGCGUAGGCGGCCGGCUAAGUCGAACGUGAAAUCCCCGGGCUCAACCCGGGAACUGCGUCCGAUACUGGUCGGCUUGAAUUCGGGAGAGGGAUGCGGAAUUCCCAGUGUAGAGGUGAAAUUCGUAGAUAUUGGGAAGAACACCGGUGGCGAAGGCGGCCAUCUGGACCGGCACUGACGCUGAGGCGCGAAAGCGUGGGGAGCAAACAGG
rnacentral:rRNA from 1 species